rnacentral:tRNA from 1 species
CGGUGCGGCGGCUCGGGCAGGGUCAGCGGCUCCAGGCCGUAGGGGAAGUCCCCGAAGUCCCAGCCCUCGGGCACCGGC